ensembl:lncRNA
AAGGGGACGAUGGGAAAAAUAUGUGGAAAGUCAUAGUAUGAGGCCUCUAUUGAAAUAGAUUAUACAGAAAGAGAAGGGUGACAAACAGGGCUUAGGAAAAUGUUGUGGUGAUUGUGAUUUCUCCUUCAGCUCCUCCUUCUAAAUGGGAUUUAUGGGAAAAGGCAAUAUGUCACCGUGCCUAUGACUGUAGUUGGCUUCCUCAUUUCAUGUCUACUGGACUUUGCAAGUAUUGUCUGGCACAGGAAGACAGACAGACAGUUUAAAAUUUGCUGUCUGACAAUAUCAACUUGCUGAUCACUCGAGCUAGAUUACCACCAGAGUUUUGGGGAAGGCAACAUGAUAGAGAAACACUACUUAGGAAAGACAAGUUAAACACAGCUAGGAAAAUAAAAACAGCGAAUAGAAAUAAUACCACCAACCACUCAAAAUCUUUCAGUUAGGAAAAUACUCUCUGAGAAACACAGCAGAUUUCAGCUCAGAUAAUCCAAAUGAUUUACACAUUCACUUGUAAUUGCAGUGACAGCUGCUCUAGAAGGCUGAAGAAUAUAAAGCAGGAGUCCAUUAUAUGUAUCAUUCAAGAGGACAACUUAACUCUGACUUUAGACACAGAGUAUGUCCCUUGAUGAAAGAAAAACCCCCAAACAACGUGGGAAUGGGCAAUAAAAAGGGUAGAACAGAUGCACUUCUGCACCGGCUGUAAGGUCCCCAGGAAAGGAAGAAAGCAGAGAGGAAUCACCUGACAGGGACCUGGAUACCUGCAAGAAGAUGCACAAGAGAAGAUCAAAUCACCCCUUCAGUGCCAGCAGCAUCACAGACGUCAUAUGGGUCAUGGUCUGAGGCAUAUAUUGAUACACAUGCUAAAAAGAUGCUUCUAAUUUUUUUUUUAAGCCUAUAAACCAGCCUCUAAAUUGUAACAGGUUUCUUAAUGAUAUUAUAAGCACUGUCAAUAGAAACAUUAAAAAAUUGAGUAAUUUCGUUCUUUCUGCCCUAACAAAUGACCAGUCUUGAAAUUUUGGAUUAUUAAUUAUUGCAACACUGUUCAAUACUUAGGCUUGCCUUUCUGUGGAGUGUCUUGAAUCCUUGGUUAUCUGUGCCUAUAGCAGCAGAAAUCACUGUAUUCCUUCCUCCCACCAUUAUGUCCUCAAAUUUAACAGGAUUAUUUAAUCCUGAUUCACAGGGGAAUAGGAAUAAUCAUAGAAUCAUUUCCAACCAAGGUUGGAAAAGACCUAUAAGAUUAUCCAGUCCUACUGUCCACCUAUCACCAAUAGUUCUCACUAAACCAUGUCCCUCAACACAACAUCUAAAUGUUCUUUGAACACAAAUGUAUUUUUAUUUUUAGUUAAUUUUACACAUCUUUUCCUGUUUUCUUGUAAAACACAGCCAACACAUACAAAGCUCCAGGCACCAGCCCAGCAGCAUGCUUCCUGGGUGGCUUGUGGACCCUCAAAGGUGGGGAUGAAGCAACCAACAAUAAUAAUACGGGAUUACGAAUUUUCAGAACAGUCAAGCUAAAGAUUGUAUCUCCCCUCUUGCAAUCUAAAGACCACGUGCUUUGUAGUUUAAAGUGAGUUUACCUGGACUUUGACCUUUUCACAGAUUCACGUUUUGAGAAGCAAAUGCGAGCUAUACAAUGCACAUAUAGGCACAUCUCUGCAUUAUACACACGUGCAGAAAUCAGUCGGUAACAACACUCUUUCUAGAAACUCCUCUCCACUGUCCCCUAGCGCUCUCAGCUACCUGCUAUGCUAGCGUGUAUUUUUCUACCAAUUACAGGGAAGCCUAGGGGUAAGUAACUAAUAGCAUACCACCUAAGUAUAUCGCAAAACUACUCUAAUUUUCAGUCAGACCUUUGCAAGGCUGGAGAUGAAAAGCUGUCAACAGCCAUCGCUCACUAGAAAAUGUAUCCCUCCUUUUCUUCUUCUGCUUGGAACUGAAAAUCACAUCCACUCUUGCAACACCUGAUAUGUGCAGACUCCUCAGGACAGCUGAAGUUCAGACAACCAGUGUGUAAGCAGACUGUUUGUUUUGAAUUAGACAAAAACUUCCUUGAGUCAUUUCUCAUAAAGCAAACAGAUGACAUUAAAGAAAACAAUGAAUACGCUGCUUUAGCUUAACAAGGGUAAUGAACAAAUGCCAAAUAGAUUUUCACUGAUAUUCCAAAAUGAUUUGAAACAGGCUGGCUAUGCUAUGACCUGUAGCGUAGACUAGUGUUCACUGCACUAAAUUUAAAUUGUGAACUCUCCUGUAAUAUCUACAAGCUGCUUUUCAUGGUAAAAAAUAUAUGUCAGCACAAACUGCUUUAGUGAAGAAUAAUUCAGAGAGGCUUGUAUGUACAGGUUUGAUUAACAUAGCUGUGUUAACUCCAAAACUUCCUACCAUUAGGAACUUCUGACCAGAUCUGUAACAUGCUCACUCUGCUUAGGCAAACUUCACAAUCCUUCAGUAACACCUUAUCCCACAACCCUUCCUCUAUGCCUGGAAGGGGUUUUCCAUCUGUGGAUGAAAGACAAUUUGCAUCACACAGCUUUUCACAUCUGACCAAAAGAGUUCUUUUCAAGCACCUCUCUGCUCAGAGUUGGAGCUCUGGGAUUCAGAGCAGAGGCACAACCUUUGAGUAGUCAAACAAAGUCAGGUGGCGAGCAAAUCUUACAUCAUGGGUCAUUAGAUCAUCUGGUUAGAUGAUCUAAUCCAUGAAAGAGCAGGUAGAUUUUUCAGCAGUUUUUGCUUUACCUUAAAACAAAAACAGAAGCAGAGGUCAACAACUGAUCUGAGAUUAAACAAUAAUCUUUCCAAAUGUCCCCGUCCAGCAAUGAAAUGAAUGAGUUUUAAAGACUCAAAAAAUCCUUUCGCCUUUAUCAUCAGCGAAGCUGGGACUGAGUAGAUGAUGAAACACUAAUAGAAACAAACAAACAACAACAAAAAGAUUAAAAUCAUGGAAACAUCUAUCACUGAAGUUCUGAGCCAGUUAGUUUAACUACUGUGCCAGAGAAAAAAUCUGUUUGUGCAUAGACCCCUUGUAGACAUGAUUUUGAAGAUGAAUCUUGUGAUUUAAGGAAAGUAGAAAAAUAACAACUAUGCAUGUCUAUAGCUUCUCUCUUCAUAGUGUCCCUUUAAGACCGUUUCUUCUGUCUCAGUAUCAUACACCUUGAUGUGGGACCAGAAUAGGAAGCUGAAAUGCCAAGUGACUAGAAGAAAGACUGUGCUUGUGGGUACUCCUGACCACACCAAAUGCAAAGAGUACAAAGAGCUCAUUCUCUCAAGCCUCCCAAAGCCAUUUCCACCCCAAAGGGCUGUACAAAAGCUUCAGAUAAACAUCCAGAUCUUUGAUUGUUUAUACAAACUGAACACUUCACAGGUUUUUGGAGACUAGCCCAUCACUAGAAGGAAUAAGAAACUUUCCAUACCCUGAAUCGGAGGUGCUUUUGUCUCCUUCACGGACAUGAUCAAAUAACUUCUUUUCUCUCUCACUUUCGGAUUUCAUCCAGCAGACAGAAAAGCACACAACUACGAUGAUUCAGGUGACUUUUCCUUUUAGAAUUUAUACAGAUGAACAUAAACAAAACCAAGCAAUUUAUAAGCGCAGCCCAAACAAAUCACACAAAAAGCCCAGCGCUAUAGGUCAAAUUCCAUUCCUGCAACAAUUUUACCCAAAACAGAUGUAUAACUAACCUUACAAAAACAUGUGAGCCCAUAUUUUGGCUGCUGGUUAAGAACCUCCUGUGCAGUCUAUCCGUAGCAAGGGUAGAAGAAAAACAUUCCAG